UGGGAACAAGGAUGGCCAGUACUCUCAUGACACCCAGACAACCACUGGAGCUUACGGUGGGGCCGGCUACACAGGAGGAGAGCACCACGAGAAGAAGGGUAUAAUAGGCCAAGUUAAGGACAAGCUGCCAGGUGGGCAAAAGGAUGACCAGUACUGUCGUGACACCCACCCAACCACUGGAGCUUACGGUGGCGCCGGCUACACAGGAGGAGAGGACCACGAGAAGAAGGGUAUAAUAGGCCAAGUCAAAGACAAGCUGCCAGGUGGGCAAAAGGAUGACCAGUACUGUCGUGACACCCACCCAACCACUGGAGCUUACGGUGGGGCCGGCUACACAGGAGGAGAGCACCAGGAGAAGAAGGGUAUAAUAGGCCAAGUUAAGGACAAGCUGCCAGGUGGGCAAAAGGAUGAUCAGUACUCUCAUGACACCCACAAAACUACUGGAGCUUACGGUGGGGCCGGAUACACAGGAGAUGAUACCCGGGAGAAGAAGGGUAUAAUAGGCCAAGUGAAGGACAAGCUGCCAGGUGGGCAAAAGGAUGACCAUUACUCUCAUGACACCCACCCAACAACUGGAGCUUACGGUGGGGCCGGGUACACAGGAGAUGAUACCCGGGAGAAGAAGGGUAUAAUAGACCAAGUAAAGGACAAGCUGCCGGGUGGGCAAAAGGAUGACCAUUACUCUCAUGAGACCCACCCAACCACUGGAGCUUACGGUGGGGCAGGGUACACAGGAGAUGAUACACGGGAGAAGAAGGGUGUAGUGGAGAAAGUGAAGGAGAAGCUGCCAGGUGGGCAAAAUGUGCACCCAACCACUGGAC
rnacentral:lncRNA from 1 species